rnacentral:rRNA from 1 species
GACAGAGGAUGCAAGCGUUAUCCGGAAUGAUUGGGCGUAAAGCGUCUGUAGGUGGCUUUUCAAGUCCGCCGUCAAAUCCCAGGGCUCAACCCUGGACAGGCGGUGGAAACUACCAAGCUGGAGUACGGUAGGGGCAGAGGGAAUUUCCGGUGGAGCGGUGAAAUGCGUAGAUAUCUGGAGGAACACCGGUGGCGAAGGCGGCGUCCUGGACCAACACUGACACUAAGGAGCGAAAGCCAGGGGAGCAAACGGG